GGGUUGUGAGGUUAAGCGACUAAGCGUACACGGUGGAUGCCCUGGCAGUCAGAGGCGAUGAAGGGCGUGCUAAUCUGCGAUAAGCGCCGGUAAGGUGAUAUGAACCGCAACAACCGGCGAUACCCGAAUGGGGAAACCCAGUGUGACUCGUCACACUAUCAUGCAGUGAAUACAUAGCUGUAUGAGGCGAACCGGGGGAACUGAAACAUCUAAGUACCCCGAGGAAAAGAAAUCAA
rnacentral:rRNA from 1 species